GAUGAACGCUAGCGGCAGGCCUAACACAUGCAAGUCGAGGGAGAAGCCCUUUCGGGGGCAGAAACCGGCGCACGGGUGCGUAACGCGUAUGCAACCUGCCUUUCACAGGGGGAUAGCCCGAAGAAAUUUGGAUUAAUACCCCAUAAUAUUAUUUGAUGGCAUCAUUUGAUAAUUAAAACUGCGGUGGUGAAAGAUGGGCAUGCGUCCUAUUAGCUAGUUGGAGUGGUAACGGCACCCCAAGGCUACGAUAGGUAGGGGUCCUGAGAGGGAGAUCCCCCACACUGGUACUGAGACAGGGACCAGACUCCUACGGGAGGCAGCAGUGAGGAAUAUUGGUCAAUGGUCGGAAGACUGAACCAGCCAUGCCGCGUGCAGGAAGAAUGCCUUAUGGGUUGUAAACUGCUUUUAUAUGGGAAGAAUAAGGCGUACGUGUACGUUGAUGACGGUACCAUAUGAAUAAGCAUCGGCUAACUCCGUG
rnacentral:rRNA from 1 species